rnacentral:rRNA from 1 species
GAUUAGCUCAGCUGGGAGAGCACCUGCCUUACAAGCAGGGGGUCGGCGGUUCGAUCCCGUCAUCCUCCACCAUAAUAUUAUAAUGAAAGAAGUGGCUAAACGCGGCGGACUGUAAAUCCGCUCCUUCGGGUUCGGCAGUUCGAAUCUGCCCCCCUCCACCAUUCUUAAUUAAUGGGCUAUAGCCAAGCGGUAAGGCAACGGACUUUGACUCCGUCAUGCGCUGGUUCGAAUCCAGCUAGCCCAGCCAUUAAGAGCCAUUAGCUCAGUUGGUAGAGCAUCUGACUUUUAAUCAGAGGGUCGAAGGUUCGAGUCCUUCAUGGCUCACCAUUUUAACAAAAUAUGCGGGUGUGGCGGAAUUGGCAGACGCACCAGACUUAGGAUCUGGCGCCUUUGGCGUGGGGGUUCGACUCCCUUCACCCGCACUUUUAAUUAAAUAACUCAUACAUGUCUUGCGGAAGUAGUUCAGUGGUAGAAUACAACCUUGCCAAGGUUGGGGUCGCGGGUUCGANGUUAGGCUGAUAAGUAGGCAAAUCCGCUUAUCGUAAAGGCUGAGCUGUGAUGGGGAAGCUCCUUAUGGAGCGAAGUCUUUGAUUCCCCGCUGCCAAGAAAAGCUUCUAGCGAGAUAAAAGGUGCCUGUACCGCAAACCGACACAGGUAGGCGAGGAGAGAAUCCUAAGGUGUGCGAGAGAACUCUGGUUAAGGAACUCGGCAAAAUGACCCCGUAACUUCGGGAGAAGGGGUGCUUUCUUAACGGAAAGCCGCAGUGAAUAGGCCCAAGCGACUGUUUAGCAAAAACACAGCUCUCUGCGAAGCCGUAAGGCGAAGUAUAGGGGGUGACACCUGCCCGGUGCUGGAAGGUUAAGGAGAGGGGUUAGCGUAAGCGAAGCUCUGAACUGAAGCCCCAGUAAACGGCGGCCGUAACUAUAACGGUCCUAAGGUAGCGAAAUUCCUUGUCGGGUAAGUUCCGACCCGCACGAAAGGUGUAACGAUUUGGGCACUGUCUCAACCAGAGACUCGGUGAAAUUAUAGUACCUGUGAAGAUGCAGGUUACCCGCGACAGGACGGAAAGACCCCGUGGAGCUUUACUGUAGCCUGAUAUUGAAUUUUGGUACAGUUUGUACAGGAUAGGCGGGAGCCUUUGAAACCGGAGCGCUAGCUUCGGUGGAGGCGCUGGUGGGAUACCGCCCUGACUGUAUUGAAAUUCUAACCUACGGGUCUUAUCGACCCGGGAGACAGUGUCAGGUGGGCAGUUUGACUGGGGCGGUCGCCUCCUAAAGUGUAACGGAGGCGCCCAAAGGUUCCCUCAGAAUGGUUGGAAAUCAUUCGUAGAGUGCAAAGGCAUAAGGGAGCUUGACUGCGAGACCUACAAGUCGAGCAGGGACGAAAGUCGGGCUUAGUGAUCCGGUGGUUCCGCAUGGAAGGGCCAUCGCUCAACGGAUAAAAGCUACCCCGGGGAUAACAGGCUUAUCUCCCCCAAGAGUCCACAUCGACGGGGAGGUUUGGCACCUCGAUGUCGGCUCAUCGCAUCCUGGGGCUGUAGUCGGUCCCAAGGGUUGGGCUGUUCGCCCAUUAAAGCGGUACGCGAGCUGGGUUCAGAACGUCGUGAGACAGUUCGGUCCCUAUCCGUCGUGGGCGUAGGAAAUUUGAGAGGAGCUGUCCUUAGUACGAGAGGACCGGGAUGGACGCACCGCUGGUGUACCAGUUGUUCUGCCAAGGGCAUAGCUGGGUAGCUAUGUGCGGAAGGGAUAAGUGCUGAAAGCAUCUAAGCAUGAAGCCCCCCUCAAGAUGAGAUUUCCCAUAGCGUAAGCUAGUAAGAUCCCUGAAAGAUGAUCAGGUUGAUAGGUUCGAGGUGGAAGCAUGGUGACAUGUGGAGCUGACGAAUACUAAUAGAUCGAGGACUUAACCAU